rnacentral:rRNA from 1 species
GGGGAGAUUCWCCGUAUUUCCGUUUCGAUCCGCGAUACGAUUUUACGCACACUCCGAUGCGGUGCGACGUUUCGGCGUCGUCCGUUUCGAAGGCGGUCGUGUCGUAGACGAUGGUCGACGGAGUGCGUGCACUUCUCCCUCAGUAAAACACCGCGACCCGUUCGACUGCGAUCGAACGCGCCGUGCGGUCGUUCCGUUUCGAACGUCAAAAAUUCGGGACGGAGCCGCGGCGUCGCGUUCGCGGUCAGACGGUAGAGAAGUAGGUUCGCGUUCGCCGCGUUGCGAAACGCGGCGUCCGUGUCGCGAACCGAACGGGUCUCGUGCGAACCUCGACGUAAACGCGUCGCAGGCGUUUCGUACGUUGUACGCCCGUUCGUCGGCGUCGCGACCUCUCGGACGGAACGCGUCCCGG